UGGGGAAUAUUGCGCAAUGGGCGAAAGCCUGACGCAGCAACGCCGUGUGAGGGAUGAAGGCUUUCGGGUCGUAAACCUCUGUCGGAAGGGAAGAACGGGUGAGGGUCUAAUAGGCCUUCAUUUUGACGGUACCUUUAGAGGAAGCACCGGCUAACUCCGUGCCAGCAGCCGCGGUAAUACGGAGGGUGCAAGCGUUAUUCGGAAUUACUGGGCGUAAAGCGCACGUAGGCCGCUUUGUAAGUCAGGGGUGAAAUCCCAGGCUCAACCGUGGAACUGCCCUUGAAACUGCAGAGCUUGAAUCCUGGAGAGGGUGGCGGAAUUCCUGGUGUAGGAGUGAAAUCCGUAGAUAUCAGGAGGAACACCGGUGGCGAAGGCGGCCACCUGGACAGGCAUUGACGC
rnacentral:rRNA from 1 species